AACGAACGCUGGCGGCAUGCCUAACACAUGCAAGUCGAACGAGAUCUUCGGGUCUAGUGGCGCACGGGUGCGUAACGCGUGGGAAUCUGCCCUUUGGUUCGGAAUAACAGUUGGAAACGACUGCUAAUACCGGAUGAUGACGAAAGUCCAAAGAUUUAUCGCCAGAGGAUGAGCCCGCGUAGGAUUAGCUAGUUGGUGUGGUAAAGGCGCACCAAGGCGACGAUCCUUAGCUGGUCUGAGAGGAUGAUCAGCCACACUGGGACCGAGACACGGCCCAGACUCCUACGGGAGGCAGCAGUGGGGAAUAUUGGACAGUGGGCGAAAGCCUGAUCCAGCAAUGCCGCGUGAGUGAUGAAGGCCUUAGGGUUGUAAAGCUCUUUUACCCGGGAUGAUAAUGACAGCACCGGGAGAAUAAGCUCCGGCUAACUCCGUGCCAGCCGCCGCCGUAA
rnacentral:rRNA from 1 species